rnacentral:rRNA from 1 species
AUUGAACGCUAGCGGGAUGCCUUACACAUGCAAGUCGAACGAGUGGCGAACGGGUGAGUAAUGAAUCGGAACGUGCCCAGUAGAGGGGGAUAACUACGCGAAAAGUAGCUAAUACCGAAUACUCUUGGACAGGCCGAUAUGGGAUUGGCUAGCUGGUGGGGUAACGGCUAACCAAGGCGACGAUCCGUAGCUGGUUUGAGAGGACGAACAGCCACACGGUGACUGUGACACGGCCCAGACUCCUACGGGAGGCAGCAGUGGGGAAUAUUGGACAAUGGGCGCAACCCUGAGCCAGCCAGCCCGCGUGUGCGAAGAAGGCCUUCGGGUUGUAAAGCACUUUUGGCAGGAAAGCGGUACCUGCAGAAUAAGCACCGGCUAACUACGUGCCAGCAGCCGCGGUAAUAC